UACAGAGGUGGCAAGCGUUGUUCGGAAUUACUGGGCGUAAAGCGUGCGCAGGCGGUUCGUUAAGUUCGUUGUGAAAGCCCCGGGCUCAACCUGGGAACUGCAAUGGAAACUGGCGGGCUUGAAUGCGGCAGAGGGGGGUGGAAUUCCGCGUGUAGCAGUGAAAUGCGUAGAGAUGCGGAGGAACACCGAUGGCGAAGGCAGCCCCCUGGGCCGACAUUGACGCUCAGGCACGAAAGCGUGGGGAGCAAACAGG
rnacentral:rRNA from 1 species